rnacentral:rRNA from 1 species
GACGAACGCUGGCGGCGUGCUUAACACAUGCAAGUCGAACGGAAAGGCCCUUCGGGGUCCUCGAGUGGCGAACGGGUGAGUAACACGUGGGUGAUCUGCCCUGCACUUUGGGAUAAGCCUGGGAAACUGGGUCUAAUACCGAAUAGGACCGCGCGCUUCAUGGUGUGUGGUGGAAAGCUUUUGCGGUGUGGGAUGGGCCCGCGGCCUAUCAGCUUGUUGGUAGGGUAAUGGCCUACCAAGGCGACGACGGGUAGCCGGCCUGAGAGGGUGACCGGCCACACUGGGACUGAGAUACGGCCCAGACUCCUACGGGAGGCAGCAGUGGGGAAUAUUGCACAAUGGGCGCAAGCCUGAUGCAGCGACGCCGCGUGAGGGAUGACGGCCUUCGGGUUGUAAACCUCUUUCACCAGGGACGAAGCGCAAGUGACGGUACCUGGAGAAGAAGCACCGGCCAACUACGUG